rnacentral:lncRNA from 1 species
AGUGAGCCGAGAUCACAUCACUGCAUUGUAAUCUAGCCUGGGUGACAGAGCAAGGCUCUGUCUCAAAAAAAAAAAAACUCUGGACGAAUGAAGUGGCCGGAAGUAGUUAUUUAAAAGGUUAAUGUUAGUUGAAUGUUAACUAUCCUGACUGAAAUUAAGUUGAAGCCCCAGGAAUUUCAGAAGCAAAAGCACUCAUGCACUCUUCUGGCCCAUUUUGCAGUUUGCCUUCACAGCCAGCACAGUGGAAAGCCAGCUCUGAAAUAUGUGGGGUGUGGUCGGAGUGCUCAGAUACAGCCGGAAGUCUCCUCUCCCUGCACCUGCAGAGACAGUUACUCCUGGGAACUUCUGGGUGUUUUUCUGGGAGUUGUUUUUGGCAAUGAAACCACACUUGAACUCCAGACCUCUCCACCGGAAGACUUUGAACAGGGUCAGGGUGGGAACUUUGCAUUUCCAGAUGGGAUUUUCUGCUGCAAACAAGGUCAGGAACAUGGCCCUGGAUGAUGCAGACGUGAGCGAUGCUUGCUUCCCCUUAAACUGAACGUCAUAAGCCUUGUCCUUACUUAGAAGCAGCAUCCAGGGCAGAAAAUACGAUAAAAGCCUUGGCCCACCUGCCCGCUGUGCCUGCCACAGUCUCCUGGCUUAAAGUGUGUCCCACCUUAAAAUGAGAAGGUGGUGACCUCUCAGAGGUUCAGGCUCAGUAGGUUUAAGUCUUCAGGUAGAACGAGCGACUAGGCCACUCCUGUGGAGGAUUGCCAUUGCCAGAGUUUGAAGCAGUUGCUUUUUCCUGCUAUUCCAAAAAUAGGACAACUGCGACCUUUGGCUUAUAAAUUCAGCUAAGGCAACAGUUGCACACACAACUGGGGUGGCCGCUCAGCUCUCUUCCUCUACCCACCCUGGCCCAGCGUCCCCUGCUGGUACCAGGCCCUGCUCCCUAGAUGCAGGGAUUGACCCAAACCCUGCCAAUCAAAGAGCCUCAGCUUCAGCAACAGCAAUUGGUCCAGCGGGGAGAGCACGUGAGCAGAGUCGAGCUUAUCAGAGUCCUCCCUGGCCCAUCCCAAACACAGCUGGCCAGGGGCCAGGAGCUCCCUCUGAGAUGGGAGCUUCUAUUCAGGCCAAGAGGCUGGUAGAAGGUGAAUCUGAAGUGGACUGUGAUGUAGGUUAUGGCUGAGAGAGUGGAGCAGGUGUGUGUGUGUGUGUGUGUGUGUGUGAGAGAGAGAGAGAGAGAGAGAGAGAGAAAGAGAGAGAGGUGGCGGUGCAGUUUUUAGGUGCCUGGUUCCAUUCUGUGAGAGUCCAGCUCCACUUUCCCUGUUUGGGUCCAUAAAUGCCUCUCUCUUGGAGUUGAGUUUCUGUACUUUCAGCUGAAAGAGAUUGCGACAGGUUCAAAAUGUGUUCAGAAAUCCUUUGACAAUUUCUCCCUCAAAAUUUGGAACCUGGCGAGGGCGGUGGCUCAUACCUGUAAACCUAGCACUUUGGGAGGCCAAAGCAGGAGGAUCUUUUGAGCUCAGGGGUUCAAGACCAGCCUGGACAACAUAAUGAGGCCCCAUCUCUAGAAACAAUUAAACAACAAAAUUAGUCGGAUGUGGUGGCAUGCACCUGUAGUCCCAGCUGCUCUGGAGGCUGAGGCAGGAGGAUCACUUGAGCAUGUCUGGGAGGUUGAGGCUUCAGUGAGCUGUGAUCAUACCACUGCACUCCAGCCUGGGUUACAGAGGGAGACCAUGUCUCCCACCUCAAAAUAUGAAAAAUAAACCCAACUCCCUACCCCUUGAGCACAGGCUGGAUUUAGUGCGUGGAAGUGAUAGUGCACGACUUCCAAGACUAGGUCGGAAAAGACGCUGUGGCUUCCAUCUUGCUCUCCUGAAUCACAUGCUCUGAGGAAG